rnacentral:rRNA from 1 species
ACAUCCAGAGAACUUAGCAGAGAUGCUUUGGUGCCUUCGGGAACUCUGAGACAGGUGCUGCAUGGCUGUCGUCAGCUCGUGUUGUGAAAUGUUGGGUUAAGUCCCGNAACGAGCGCAACCCUUAUCCUUUGUUGCCAGCGGUUCGGCCGGGAACUCAAAGGAGACUGCCGGUGAUAAACCGGAGGAAGGUGGGGAUGACGUCAAGUCAUCAUGGCCCUUACGGCCAGGGCUACACACGUGCUACAAUGGCGCAUACAAAGAGAAGCGACCUCGCGAGAGCAAGCGGACCUCAUAAAGUGCGUCGUAGUCCGGAUUGGAGUCUGCAACUCGACUCCAUGAAGUCGGAAUCGCUAGUAAUCGUAGAUCAGAAUGCUACGGUGAAUACGUUCCCGGGCCUUGUACACACCGCCCGUCACACCAUGGGAGUGGGUUGCAAAAGAAGUAGGUAGCUUAACCUUCGGGAGGGCGCUUACCACUUUGUGAUUCAUGACUGGGGUGAAGUCGUAACAAGGUAAGCGUAGUGCU